rnacentral:rRNA from 1 species
AUGGCGGCUUCAGUAGCUUGCUCCUUCUUCUUUGACGCGGAGCUGCUCGCCGAGCCCGGCUUGCCCGCGCUGGACGCGUGCGCGCUCUGCGCCAAGCCGCUGGCGCGCGACAGCGACAUCUUCAUGUACAAGGGCGACACGCCCUUCUGCAGCGAGGAGUGCCGCGACGAGCAGAUGCAGCUCGACGCCAUCUCCGCCAGGCAGGCCGCCCGGAGGCAGCAGCGGUUCUCGUCGGGAACGGAGGCCCGGCGCGGGCACCAGGAGUCCAGGAAGGUGUCCGUCGCGAGCUAG